GUCCUCUAUGCCUCAGUGGGUUAGUACUGUCAACACUAAGGUCCUCUAUGGCUCAGUAGGUUAGUACUGUCAACACUAAGGUCCUCUAUGGCUCAGUAGGUUAGUACUGUCAACACUAAGGUCCUCUAUGGCUCAGUAGGUUAGUACUGUCAACACUAAGGUCCUCUAUGGCUCAGUAAGUUAGUACUGGCAACACUAAGGUCCUCUAUCAGUAGUAGGUUAGAACUGUCAACACUAAGGUCCUCUAUGGCUCAGUAGGUUAGUACUGUCAACACUAAGGUCCUCUAUGGCUCAGUAGGUUAGUACUGUCAACACUAAGGUCCUCUAUGGCUCAGUAGGUUAGUACUGUCAACACUAAGGUCCUCUAUGGCUCAGGAUGGUGGUCUGUUUGAAACAUGUUGGUAUUACAGACUCGGUCAGCGAGUGGUUUGAAAAUGUCAGUGAAGACCAGUUUGCCAGUUUGUCCGCGCAAACUCUGAGUCCACGUUCCUGGUAAUCCGUCUGGCCCUGCGUCCUUGGGAAUGUUGACCUGUUUAAAAGUGUUGCUCACGUCGGCUACAGAGAGCGUGAUCACACAGUCAUCCGGAACAGCUUGUGCUCUCAUGCAUGCUUCAGUGUUGCUUGCCUCGAGGCGAACAUCAAAGGCAUUUAGCUCGUCUGGUAGGAUCGAUUCACUGGGCAGCUCGCGGCCGGGUCUCCCUUCGUCGUCCGUAAUAAUUUGCAAGCCCCCUGCCUCAUCCGACGAGCGUCAGAGACGAUUUCUUAUAAGCGUCCGGAUUAGUGUCGCGCUCCUUGAAAGCGGCAGCUCCUAGCCUUUAGCUCGACAGUAGUAGUGUCUGGGGGUGGUGGUA
rnacentral:lncRNA from 1 species